rnacentral:rRNA from 1 species
UGGGGAAUUUUGGACAAUGGGCGAAAGCCUGAUCCAGCAAUGCCGCGUGUGUGAAGAAGGCCUUCGGGUUGUAAAGCACUUUUGUCCGGAAAGAAAUCCUUGGCUCUAAUACAGUCGGGGGAUGACGGUACCGGAAGAAUAAGCACCGGCUAACUACGUGCCAGCAGCCGCGGUAAUACGUAGGGUGCAAGCGUUAAUCGGAAUUACUGGGCGUAAAGCGUGCGCAGGCGGUUUGCUAAGACCGAUGUGAAAUCCCCGGGCUCAACCUGGGAACUGCAUUGGUGACUGGCAGGCUAGAGUAUGGCAGAGGGGGGUAGAAUUCCACGUGUAGCAGUGAAAUGCGUAGAGAUGUGGAGGAAUACCGAUGGCGAAGGCAGCCCCCCUGGGCCAAUACUGACGCUCAUGCACGAAAGCGUGGGGAGCAAACAGGAUUAGAUACCCUGGUAGUCCACGCCCUAAACGAUGUCAACUAGUUGUUGGGGAUUCAUUUCCUUAGUAACGUAGCUAACGCGUGAAGUUGACCGCCUGGGGAGUACGGUCGCAAGAUUAAACUCAAGGAAUUGACGGGGUCAUAGCUGUUUCCU